CUGCUUCAAAUCUGCAGGCACGUGCAGUGGGGUAAUGGUGGUGGGGUGGGGGUUGUCGCCAUCAGUGCCCUGGGAGAGGCCCUUUUGGCACUGAGGCUCACAUUGAUCCUUUGGCCCUUUUUUAAGUGUGUGCGUGUGAAAGCCAUUUUCAUACCUUUAAAAAUCAACAACACAAUUAAAAAAUAUAUAAUUAAAUCAUUAUCUUGCUACCCUUGGUCACAAGACCUUGCUUGCAGUUGAUGUCAUAUACUACUUGACGCACUGUUCUUUUCAAGCUAAGCUGCUGCUGAACUUGUUCUCAGCAAGGUCGUCGCUACUCUCUCCAUUUGUACUGUUUAAUUAAGUCGUCCCACGGUAUCCAGAAAGCCAAAAUAUGGUCGUGAUUAUUGGAUCGGGCUUAUAGAUAUAUCGCAAAGUCCAAUUGUAGCAUAGGCAUCAGAUUAUAGUUUGUCAAUAUUUCAUUCUGCAUCAGUGUCUGUCUCAACAUGGCGUUUCCAAACCGUCAGUGGUACAGCAGGUUAUUCGCAGUCAGUCAUUUCCGGUGCGUACUUGUUGUAAUCAACUUGCCUAACCAACUAUUCUCCCAUUUUCUUUUGUAGCUUCUGCACUCGGGCCAAAUCACCCCAGCUCCGGCAAUAUCAUCAGCAGCAGCAGCAAUCUCUCCACAAAUCCCCAUCAACAGAAGCUGUUUAGCAUACCGCAUCAGCGCCAAAGUACUGGGUUCGAAACGGUUCAAAUAAUGGAUGGAGAUUCAAGCAAGUCAGAAGCUACAGUGGAGUUGCGCGCCUUCAGUGCAGUGCCACAUGUCAGGCAGCACUGAGCACGAAUGGAAGAGAUGCAGCGUCAUUAAUAGGAAGAAGAACCAUCUUCAUUUGAAAAGUAAUGCUAUUGAGGAUUGUUCAUGCAGUUGUUUGAAGGUUUAGAAUUAAUGUCAUUUUGAUGCUAAUUUCAGUUGACCACUCCAUGGCAUUUCACAUUGCUUGUUAGCAUUCAGCUAAUGGACUUUUCGUAGUGCAGCAUAUGGUUUUUGAACAUUUGGGUUUUUAGAGAUGUAUUUUUUUUUCUCUUUUAUGGAUGUCUCAGUUGUACAGUGAACUUCAACUGGGAGUGACAAAUGUUAUUUGAAGAGCUGUGCAAGGAACAGAGUCUUUUCAUUUUCUCUGAGUGAUGAUAAUGACGAUAAUUAUAUUAUCGGACUGUCUCCCCUUU